rnacentral:rRNA from 1 species
AUGGAGUUUCUUUUCAAUGUCCACAUGGAUUCGAUGGGUUUGUGCGCCUUUUGGUACUUCAUACAACCAAAUAAGAAUGUGUAUAUAUCAUCUCAUUGUAUAGAACAACAGACCAUUUUUUUGGCUAAAGAAUAUUUCAUUUACUAUCAUACGUGCUUGCCCAUACAUAUUUCUUUAAAUGAGACUCUAUACUAUCAAGUUCUUUUUGCGAGAAAACUACGACUACAAGAAACUAAAGCGAGCAGAAGGUGCGCCGCCAUCAUUGCCCCUCCCUUGCAGGAGCCGGGCAAAACUUUUGUAGUAGACAGUCGGGAAGUCGUCGUGCUAAGGCCCCAUCGGACCAGCGCAGCAGAACAACAACUGCCGCCGAUGAAGAGUAGUGUAGAUCAGAAGGAUCCAACCUGA